rnacentral:rRNA from 1 species
UACGUAGGGGCAAGCGUUAUCCGGAUUUACUGGGUGUAAAGGGAGCGUAGACGGCGAUGCAAGUCUGGAGUGAAAGCCCGGGGCUCAACCCCGGGACUGCUUUGGAAACUGUGUUGCUAGAGUGCAGGAGAGGUAAGUGGAAUUCCUAGUGUAGCGGUGAAAUGCGUAGAUAUUAGGAGGAACACCAGUGGCGAAGGCGGCUUACUGGACUGUAACUGACGUUGAGGCUCGAAAGCGUGGGGAGCAAACAGGAUUAGAUACCCUGGUAGUCCCUGA